GUGCCAGCAGCUGCGGUAAUACGGGGGGCAAGCGUUGUUCGGAAUUACUGGGCGUAAAGGGUUCGUAGGUGGCCAGCUAAGUCAGACGUGAAAUCCCUCAGCUUAACUGAGGAACUGCGUCUGAUACUGAUUGGCUUGAGUGCAGGAGAGGAACGCGGAAUUCCAGGUGUAGCGGUGAAAUGCGUAGAUAUCUGGAGGAACACCGGUGGCGAAGGCGGCGUUCUGGACUGCAACUGACACUGAGGAACGAAAGCC
rnacentral:rRNA from 1 species